rnacentral:rRNA from 1 species
UACGGAGGGGGCUAGCGUUGUUCGGAUUUAUUGGGCGUAAAGAGCGUGUAGGCGGCCAUGUAGGUCCGUUGUGAAAACUCGAGGCUUAACCUCGAGACGUCGAUGGAAACCAUCUGGCUAGAGUCCGGAAGAGGAGAGUGGAAUUCCUGGUGUAGCGGUGAAAUGCGCAGAUAUCAGGAAGAACACCCGUGGCGAAGGCGGCUCUCUGGGACGUGACUGACGCUGAGACGCGAAAGCGUGGGGAGCAAACAGG